rnacentral:tRNA from 1 species
GCCUGGGUGGCACAGCGGUUAAGUGCGUCUGCCUUCGGCUCAGGGCGUGAUCCCGGGCGUUAUGGGAUCGAGCCCCAUAUCAGGCU